rnacentral:rRNA from 1 species
AAUAGAUACCCGGGUAGUCCACGCCGUAAACGAUGAGUGCUAAGUGUUAGAGGGUUUCCGCCCUUUAGUGCUGCAGCUAACGCAUUAAGCACUCCGCCUGGGGAGUACGGCCGCAAGGCUGAAACUCAAAGGAAUUGACGGGGGCCCGCACAAGCGGUGGAGCAUGUGGUUUAAUUCGAAGCAACGCGAAGAACCUUACCAGGUCUUGACAUCCUCUGCCAACCCUAGAGAUAGGGCAUUCCCCUUCGGGGGACAGAGUGACAGGUGGUGCAUGGUUGUCGUCAGCUCGUGUCGUGAGAUGUUGGGUUAAGUCCCGCAACGAGCGCAACCCUUGAUCUUAGUUGCCAGCAUUCAGUUGGGCACUCUAAGGUGACUGCCGGUGACAAACCGGAGGAAGGUGGGGAUGACGUCAAAUCAUCAUGCCCCUUAUGACCUGGGCUACACACGUGCUACAAUGGAUAGUACAAAGAGCUGCGAACCCGCGAGGGUAAGCGAAUCUCAUAAAGCCAUUCUCAGUUCGGAUUGU